GUGCUCGCUUUGGCAGCACAUGUACUAAAAUUGGAACGAUACAGAGAAGAUUAGCAUGGCCUUCAUGAGCGGGAGGGGGUAUAGAUUGUGUACACACAGCCCAUUUAU
rnacentral:snRNA from 1 species